GUGUUGGCACGCACCUAUAGUCCCAGCUAUUCCAGAGGCUGAGGCAUGAGAAUUGCUUGAACCCGGGAGGCAGAGAUUGAAGUGAGCCGAGAUCACACCACUGCACUCUACCCUGAGUGACACAGUGAGACUCCAUCUCAAAAAAAAAGGAAGGAAGGAAGGAAUUAUUUAGGUUGAAUUACACAGAAGUUUGUCACUGAUCUGUGUUCUCGAACUAAGAAAUAUGAAGAUGGAGGCUAAGAAAUCAUUUCUCUUAAUAUUAUAAAUAAGCAAUUAACAAAUACCUUGGGAAAAAUAAGAAUACAAUAGAAGUGAGGAGUGUGACUUUCAAGAUUACAUUCUAAAAGAUGGAUUUCCCUCGUCUGUGCACUCUCUCUGGAACGCACAGCUCCCACACAGUACACUGCCCUAUGGAGAGGCCCACAAGGCAAGGAACCGAGGGCAGCCUUGGGCCAACAGCCAACCAGCAAGUGAGGCCUCAGUCCAACAAUGCAUCAACGAGCUGAAUCUUGCAACAAUGAUGUGGGUGAGACUAGAAGUAAAUGCUUCCCCAGUUGAUCCUUGAGAUGACCACAGCCUCAGCCACCAGUUUGAUGGCAGACUUGGAAGACCCUGAAGCAGAGAAUCCAGCCAAGUUACGCUGGGAUUUGUGAUCCACAGAAGUUAUGAGACAAUGAAUGUUUGUUGCUGUAAGCCAUGCCAAAGCCUGACAAGCAAGACCCAAGGAGACCUGAGUUGUCAACUGAUGUACCAGACAGGGCUGUUGCUGCAGAAAACUCCAUAAAAGUUCCAAGGGUGCCAGAAUGACUUUCUGAAAUGCCUGCCUAACUCUGCUGUCAGCCACUUUCUUCCAGAGCCCAUAGCACAUCAUCAUUUAGUUCAUCAAAGAACAGCAGGGCAGGUCAGUGGCUCUGUUCCAGUAGCCCAGCUACACAGGCUUCUCUAGAUGGCAGGAACAUAUGUAUGAAUUUCUGUGUGAAUCAGAGCAGAAUUCUCUCACAUUAAAUUUUUAUACACUUGGUUCUUUACUGUGGCUUGUGGACCAUUCUUUUUUUCUUUUUUGAGACAGUCUCACUCUGUCACCCAGGUUGGAGUAUAGUGGCAUGAUAACUGCAGCUUUGACCUCCCACUUCAAGCAAUCCUCCCACUUCAGCCUCAGCCUCUUGAAGUAGCAAAAACUACAGGUGCACACCACCAAACCCAGUUAGUGUGUGUUUGUGUGUGUGUUUGUGUGUGUGUGUGUGUGGAGAUGGAGUCUCACAAUGUUGCCAAGGCUGGUCUCAAACUCCUGGGCUCAAGUGAUCCUCCUACCCUGGCCUCCUGAAGUGCUAGUAUUACAGGCAUCAGCCACCAUGCCUGACCACCUGUGGACCAUUCUGCCCACCAAAUUUCAAUCUGUGGUUCAGAUCAAGGGUGAGCAGACUAUGUCCUGGGGCCCAAAUCUAGCUCUUCACAUGUUUUUGUAAACAAGGUUUUUUCAGAACAUAGCUAGGCCAUUCAUUAUAUAUUGUCUAUGUCUGCUUUCCUGCUACAAGAGCAGAACUGUGUAACUGUGGCAGAUUGUAUGGCCUGCAAAGCAUAUUUAGUGUUUGGUCUAUUACAUAAAAAGUCUGCUGAUCUCUGCUACACACUAUUUCUAUAAAUGCAGAUAGCCAGCUUUUUAAAAAUUAGAAAAACUUGGCCACGCCUAUAAUCCCAACACUUUGGGAAGCUGAGGCAGAAGGAUUGCUUGAGGCCAGGAGUUUGAGACCAGCCUGAACAACACAGCAAGACUGUCUAAAAAAUAAAAUAAAAUAAAAAAUAAAUUAAAAAAAUAAAAAAUUUUAAUUAAAAUUGGAAAAACUAUAGAAAAAUAGUACUAAAAUAAUGUUUUUCUUUAAUAUUUAGAUGAUAAUUGAAGAUUACAGUCCUCAAAAUAGUCAUUAGGAAAUCCAAUUAAUACUACAGCACAGGAAAGGUGGGAACAAAAGAGACAGCAGGAUGGCCAGGCGUGGUGGCUCAUGCCUGUAAUUCCAGCACUUUGAGAGGCCAAGGCAGGCAGAUCACUUGAGGUCAGGAGUUCGAGACCAGCCUGGCCAUCAUGGUGAAACCCUAUCUCUACUACAAAUACAAAAAUUAGCCAGGUGUGGUGGCAUGAGCGUGUAAUCCCAGCCACUCGGGGGGCUGGGGCACAAGAGUCGCUUGAACCCAGGAGGCGGAGGUUGCAGUGAGCCAAGAUGGUGCCACUGCACUGCAGCCUGGGUGACAGAGACUCUGUCUCAAAAAAAAAAAAAAAAAAAAAAGAACCAAAAAAACAGAGAUAGCAGGUAACAGAACUCUCCAGCUGACAGAACAGGGCUUUUAAGAAGACCUAUUUUUGGCUGGGCACAGUGACUCAUGUCUGUAAUCCCAGCACUUUGGGAGGCUGAGGCGGGUGGAUCUAUGAGGUCAGGCAUUCGAGACCAGCCUGGCCAACAUAGUGAAACUCUGUCUCUACUAAAAAUACAAAAAAUUAGCCAGGCGUGGUGGUGGGCGCCUGCAAUUGCAGCUGGGGCACCUGCAAUCCCAGCUACUCGGGAGGCUGAGGCGGGAGAAUCACUUGAACCUGGGAGGCAGAGGUUGCAGUGAGCUGAGAUAGCGCCACUGCACUGCAGCCCGGGCGAUAGUGCAAGACUCUGUCUCAAAAAAAAAGAAGAGGAAGACCUACUUUCGAAUUUGGAAUUUAAUUUAAUCCACCACAAUGUGCAACUAAAGCCAUAUACUGUUCAAAUCUGUAGUCUUCAUCUCAUUUGAGGAAGGAGAUCCUGGCCAGGCACAGUGGCUCACACCUAUAAUCCCAGCACUUCAGGAGGCCAAGGUGGGCGGACCACUUGAGGACAGGAGUUCAAGACCAGCCUAGCCAAUAUGGGGAAACGCCAUCUCUACUAAAAAUACAAAAAUUAGCUGGGCGUGGUAGUGCGCCUGUAAUCCCAGCUACUUGAGAGGCUGAGGCAGGAGAAUUGCUUGAAUCCAGGAGGCAGAGGUUGCAGUGAGCUGAGAUCAUACUACUGCAUUGCAGCCUGGGCGAAAGAGCAAGACUGUCUCAAAAAAAAAAAAAAGUAGAUCCUAAAAAAAUAGAUUUAAAGGUCCCAUUUUUUAAAUAAAAUAGCUGUGCCAUAGUAAAGCGAAAAACAGAAAAUGUCUGUCUAGAAGGAGGCUGGUUUACAAGAUAAAUGUGUGGCAGGCAUCAACACAUGAAAAAGUACACACUAAUAUUGAGUGGAACAAAUAGCACAUAAACAAGAAUUAACAAAUAUCUCUAUAAAUGAUAUUAAUUUUAAAACAUUAAAUAAUUAAAAUUACUUCAAUUAAUUCUACCUAAGAGUACUUAAUGAAAUUACUAUACGUGGUCUGGAAAUAAAAGAACCAUCUCCUAGAACAUCAAUGUUUGGUGCAGCUCCAGUGUUUUGAAUUCAUGUGACACUUUUUGAUUUGUAAAAACACAGGCUAAGAUCCAAGAUGGAAAUAACCAGAGCUAUGCCUUAGGGCCUCCUCUGUGCCAAGGCUUAGAGCCUUGUAAAGCUGCUUUAUCUGCAUUAGUUCCCAUCCUUAUAACAUCUCUGUAAUGUAAGUUUAUAAUCCCCAUAUUACUGAUGAGAAAGAGACCACAAGAUUAAGAAACCUGCCAAAAGUUACACAGCCAAGGGAUUGAGUGGAGCCUAAUAUUAAAGACUGUCUGACUCUUCAGCCCACAUUAUUGGUGUACUAGAGAGACAAGAAUGGAUGUCAGAAAACAGGUUCGGGGGGCAGUACGGGGUGGGAUGGCUGAACAAUCUAUGGUCUUCUAGGAUUUCCAGGUGCCAGGGAGCUGGAGGGUUAGAACUAGGUAAGCUUGAAAGUCCCUUCCACCUCUAACAGUCUACGAUUCUAUCACUACGGUUUAUACUGCAAGUUGAGUAUCCCUUGUCCAAAAUGCUUGAGACCAGAAGUGUUUCAGAUUUUAAACUUUUUCAGUUUUUGGACUAUGUGCUUUAUACUGACCAGUGAGCAUUCCAAAUUCAAAAAUCCAAAAUCUGAAAUACUCCAAUCAUUUUUUUUUCCUUUGAGUAUCAUGUUGGUGCUCAAAAAGUUUCAGAUUUUGGAGCAUUUUGCAUUUUGGAGUUUCAGGUUUGGAAUGCUCAACCUGUACUUUAAAAAAGAACAAAGAGAAGACCUCAAAGGCUGAAAUCUACAUGAGGCAAAGAGUUCGCAGGAUGCUCCAGGAUCAAAGUAAGGAGAGCUACCACAAUUGAAGACCUGAAAGUUGGCAGUAGAGAUAUGGGAUCCAGAAACUAGGGUUCAAUACAGAGAAGCAAAGGGAAAUCCCAGGAAAAAGGUGAAGGAAGAUCCCAGGACAAGAGCUGUGAACAGACAUAAAGAGCAACCAGCUCAUGCUGGACGACAUAGACAGUACCCAGGAGAGGAGAAUCAUACUUCUACCGGAUAAUCCGGGCAUGAACAAGAGAUAAGGAUACAAAAAGCCAUGCUAAUAAAAACAGUAACAAAAAUUAUUAAUGCCAGGGAAGACAAAAAAGUUAUACAAGAUAGAAUAUGUUACCACAGGCAGGAUGCAAUGGCCCAUUCCUGUAAUCAUAGUACUCUGGGAGGCCAAAGUGAGAAGAUCACUUGAGGCCGGGAGUUUGAGACCAGCCUGGGCAAUGUAGUGAGACCCCCACCUCUACAAAAUAUUUAGAAAUUAGCCAAGCCUGGUGGCACACACCUGUGGUCCUAGCUACUCAGGAGGUAGAAGUGGGAAGGUUGCUUGAGCCCAAAAAGUUAAGGCUGCAGUGAGCUGUGAUCCUGCUAUGGCAGGGUGACAGAGAGAGACCCUAUCUCAAAAAAUAAAUAAAUAAAUAAAAAGAGUAAAGAAAAUAUUAGUAUAUCAUACUCCCUAUUCAGUUGAGAAUAAUACUAACAUAAUUUUAUUAAUAUAAAUCUUGAUAUUAGCCUAACCAAAAAUUAUGAGCAAACUAUAUUGGGAGGAUAAAGUGAGUAAGAGGAGGAGUAGGGGGAGGUUGAUGAUACAAGAGACCUAGAGCCUCAAAGUCCAUAAUAAAGAAGUACAAUUGGACAGGUGUGGUGGCUCACAACUGUAAUCCCAAUAUUUUGGGAGGCUGAGGCAGGAGGAUCACUUGAACCCAGGAGGCAGAGGUUGCAGUGAACCAAGAUCGUGCCACUGCACUCCAGCCUGGGCGACAGAGCAAGACACAGUCUCAAAAAAAAAAAAAAAAAAAAGAAAAGAAAAGAAAAGAAAAAAUAAAUAUAGUGAUGGCCAGGAUCAGUGAGUGGCUCACACCUGUAAUCCCAGCACUUUGGGAAGCUGAGGUGGGCGGAUUGCUUUAGGCCAGGAGUUCUAGACCAGCCUGGGUAACAUGGUGAAACCCUGUCUCUACUAAAAAUACAAAAAGUAGGCUGGGCACAGCGGCUCAAGUCUGUAAUCCCAGCACUUUGGAAGGCUGAGGCAGGAGGAUCACCUGAGGUCAGGAGUUUGAGACCAGCCUGGCCAACGUGGCGAAACCACGUCUCUCCUAAAAAUACAAAAAAUUAGCCAGGCAUGGUGGCAGGCACCUGUAAUCUCAGCUACUCAGAAGGCCGAGGCAGGAGAAUCACUUGAACCCGCGAGGCAGAGGUUGUGGUGAGGCGAGGUCGCACCACUGCACUCCAGUCUGGGCAACAGAGCGAAACUCCAUCUCAAAAAAAAAAAGUGGGUCGGGAGAGGAAACUAUUAUUUAGUGUUACAAGCUCUACUGAACUAUUUGACUGUUUAAACCAUGUACAUGUACAAUUUUGACAAAAAUUAAAUUAAAAAAUCCAUGUAUUAUGAAGAUAUUAUGGUAUUGUUCAAGAUAAUGAAUGGAGAAAGUAGCUUAAUAGAUAAGGAAAAUGUUGAAAAGUUAUUUUUAGUGCAAGCACUUUCUACUACCUAAGAACUUCUUUAAAGAUGUUCAAUAACAGAAAUGAUAACAAAAUAAGGAAUCUUAGAGGCAUGAAGAGCCAACCUACAAAUGGUAAACAGUGGCUACUUACUCUUUUCACUAUGCAACAUUUACAGUAACUCUAUAGAAACUGUAUCUACAUACACAGGUCUGAAACAGAGGACUUCAGAAGUUGGUCUUGAGUACUGUGGAGAAGGAAAGAAAAACAAGGAAGAUACAGAAGCAGCAGAGAAGAACAGUAGGGAGAAAAGACACUGCAAAGAAGCAGCAGUCAGGAUGACCAGAUAGCGAAAACAUACCUGAGAAGGUUAGUUCCUCCUUACUCAAAGACUCUCAGAAAAUCCAUAGGAAAGCUGGAAAGAGAACACUAUGAGAUGCUCAGUCAAUUAACUUCUGACUCUUUUUUUUUUUUUUUUUUUUGAGACAGAGUCUUGCUCUGUUGCCCAGGCUGGAGUGCAGUGGCGUGAUCUCAGCUCACUGCAACCUCUGCAUCCCGGGUUUAAGUAAUUCUCCUGCCUCAGCCUCCCAAGUAGCUGAGACUAAAGGCUCACGCCAACAUGCCCACCUAAUUUUUUUGUAUUUUUUGGUAGAGACGGGGUUUUGCCAUGUUGGUCAGGCUGGUCUCAAACUCCUGGCCUCAAGUGAUCCACCUGCCUUGGCCUCCCAAAGUACUGAGUACAGGCAGGAGCCACCACGCCCGGCCUGACUCUUUCAAUAAAGGUCAAAGAUACCUGAUAUGAUUUCACAAAACUCCUUUCCUAGUUUAAGUGCCCCAAGUAUACCUUUCUCCCCUUUAGGGGUCCUAACGAAACAGAGUAGAGCCUCAGACACUCCUGGACCCUGUCAGUUCCAAAAGGCAAUGCCCAAACCUCCCUGAAUGAUGUGAUUUCACAGGACUGAAGAAUCUUACCUUUCUCCCUUCCACAUACCGGUCUGAGCAGAGCCGAAUAGCUUCAUUUUAAACUAGAGUCUAGAAGUUAGAGGAGGGGGGCCAGGCAGAGGAAGGAGCGAUGCUAACUGUAGACUGAGUAUAAGACACCUUAAACACAUACAAUUUACCACUUACCAGAUCUGAUCCCUCAAUUCUAACACUUUUCCUUUCUAUGUCCCAAUAAAAUUGCCACAAAUAAAUGAACACUCCAACCCUAUUCUUGUCUCAGCAAAUAAUUUGUUGAGCAACCUUAAGAAUUAAAAAGGCAAAAAAACUGGCUAGACAGGUGGCUCAUGACCAUAAUCCCAGCACUUUGGAAGGCCGAGCAGGCAGAUCACGUGAGGCCAGGAGUUCAAGACCAGUCUGGGCUACAUGGCGAGACCCUGUCUCUACCAAAAAAAAAGGGCAAAAAAACCGAACUUUCUCUAGGUGCUGAGGUAUUCUGCUGAGAAUCUACAAAACUUCAAAGCCCCUAGUGAGGGCUUAGAGACUGGCAGUAAGGACCUUAGCUGUUAAUGUGGAUGUUAACUGGGCUAGACUCUUCUGUGUUUCUGUUUCCACACGGGAGCAGGGCCUCAGAGAGGAGUCUACCAGUACUGCGAAGGUGAAGCACUAGUGCAAAGGUGUUUAGGUCAAGUUCAGUGUCACUCGCAGGUCUAAGCCAAACUAAAAUUAUUCAGUCUAGCAAUCCAUCCCUUCCUUUUUGUUCUAGACUCCAUGCUGAUAGGAGAAAAACAGCACAUCACAAACAUUUGUGAAACUUUUUCAGCUACACAGCCCUUCCGCUUCUCUUUUAAGACUCUGCUAUUCCUCUAUCAGAAUGGCAAGAAGGAUGUGGGUAGAUAUAGUAUGACUAAGCCCUGUAGAUGAUUCUGUUAGAGCUACUGCUUUUAAAGGGUUUCAUAAAACCCUGUCUUUAGAAAACCUCUCCAUAUAACAACAGGCAGUAGGCACUCAUGUCCUCUCAGCCCAUCUAAAUGGGGCUUCUAGAGGAAUUACAAAAUCCAGGCAGGUAAAGAGAAGUAGCUGCAUGCACACAGUCGUCAUAAGAGAAAAUUCCCAAAUAAAUGGUCCAAGUACCUAUAACUGUUAGCUCAAUAAACACUUGGUUUUAUCUGCUUUUACAAUUUGCAAGGCUGUAUAGAGGCUGUAUAGUACAUACUUCAGACAAAUAAAGAAGGAGUUUCAGAAUUCUUUUGUUUUUUUUUUCAGACAGGGUCUCGCUCUGUUGUUCAGUCUGGAGGGCAGUGGUGCAAUCUCCGCUCACUGCAUCCUCGACCACUGCCCCCCACCUCUCACCCCGGCAACCUCCCGGGCGAGGAUCGCUCAAGGAUCUCAAACGAUCCUCCCACCUCAGCCUCCUAAGUAGCUUGGACUACAAGCCCACCACCACGCCUGGCUACAUUUUGUUUUUUUGUGUGUUUUUUUUGUUUUUUGUUUUUUUCGUAGAGACAGAGUUUCCCUAUGUUGCCCCCAGGUUGGUCUCGAACUCCUGGGCUCAAGUAAUCCUUCCACUUCGGCCUCCCAAAGUGCUGGGAUUACAGGCAUGAGCCACCGCACCUGACCUUAGAAUUAUUUUAUAUCAAAGUUGACUUAUUCACAUGAUGAAUGGCAAGGCCUUAUUAGGGACUAAAAAAAUAAACCAAUGGAUGGGGAAGAAAAUCAUACUGACUAAUAAACAUUAGACCUGCAUAACUGCCAAAGGCCUCACUUUUUAAGUUAUGUUAUGCAGCACAGAGUCUUCAGAUUUUAUUUACUUAUUUAUUUAUUUAUUUAUUCAUUUAUUUGAGACGGACUCUCGCUCUCUCGCCCAGGCUGGAGUGCAGUGGCGCGAUCUCGGCUCACUGCACACUCCGCCUCCCGGGGUUCACGCCACGCUCCUGCCUCAGCCUCCAGAGUAGCUGGGACUACAGGCGCCCGCCACCACGCCCAGCUAUUUUUUUGUAUUUUUAGUAGAGACGGGGUUUCACCAUAUUAGCCAAGAUGGUCUCGAUCUCCUGACCUCGUGAUCCGCCCGCCUUGACCUCCCAAAGUGCUGGGAUUACAGGCGUGAGCCACUGUGUCCGGCCCAGAUUUUAUUUUAGUCUACCAGGUAGUAGCAAACUAUCCAAGGACUUGCCCAGGACCAUUCAGGUCAGUGAGCUACAGAAUCUAGUUCUGGAAAGGCAGCCAUUCUUACUAUUCACAAAGUGUAGAAAACGUGAAUUCAGAUUCCAGCAGCAACAAAUGACUGGAGCACAAAACGCCAGCCACAGUUGGUGCUAACGCAGCUGGCUAUCAGCUCCACAGGAUGAAGCACUGUCCAAGGGUCUGAUCAGUGAAGCAUCACCCAAGACUGAUGAACACAGCUGAUAUGAGGGGACCCAAAGUUCCCUGAGUCAAGACAGAAGAGCUGUGUCACGGUUUGCACAGAAAGAGAAAGAGCAACUAUUCUUACCCACGGAAAGAAAAAGGGAGAAGGCCAUCAAUACUACCCUUAGGCUUGUGCAACGAGAAACUGCUAAAAAUGGGGGGAAGGUAUAUAUCCUAUCAUACUGAUGUUUACCGAAGACUCCGCAUCCCAAAUGCUAAGCAACAUACUGUAGGGCCUUGCUACUCAGUGUGUGGUCUGCGUGCCAGAGGCUUCAGCCUCGUCUGGAAUCUAGUUAGGAACACAGUUAUCUCAGAACCCACCCCAGUCCUACAGAAUCAGAAUCUCUAAGCGAUUCGCAGGCACAUCAAAGUGUGAUGAGAGGCGCGGCAGAAUAUCUGACUACAUUCUCUUAACAGCACCGUGAGACAAGUACUGUUACGAUCUCCAUUUCACAGAGGAAAAAAAAUCAAGGGUCAGAUAAGCCCCCUGCCAAAGAUCACAAACUCAGGAGCGGCGAGAGUCACUGAAGUUCUCACCACAGCCAGGCCUGCGAGAGGCACUGGCAACCCAGGCCAAGAGCUGAACAAGGCCUCGAUGCGCUCCAGCUCUGGGCCGGCCGGGAGGACAGGAGGCACAGGCCAAGGCCCAGGACGGUCGUGAACGCGGAAAGAGGCCGCCGCGACCUCCUCCCCGGCCGCCGCCACUCACCUGAUCCUCCCGAAGGUGGGCGCCGCAACACCAAACCGGGGACGCCGCGGGCGGCGGCGACACAGAUACUGGCUCCUCCGGCGACUCCG
rnacentral:lncRNA from 10 species